rnacentral:rRNA from 1 species
GAUGAACGCUGGCGGCGUGCCUAAUACAUGCCAGUCGAGCGAACAGACGAGGAGCUUGCUCCUCUGACGUUAGCGGCGGACGGGUGAGUAACACGUGGAUAACCUACCUAUAAGACUGGGAUAACUUCGGGAAACCGGAGCUAAUACCGGAUAACAUGUUGAACCGCAUGGUUCAACAGUGAAAGACGGUCUUGCUGUCACUUAUAGAUGGAUCCGCGCCGCAUUAGCUAGUUGGUAAGGUAACGGUUUACCAAGGCAACGAUGCGUAGCCGACCUGAGAGGGUGAUCGGCCACACUGGAACUGAGACACGGUCCAGACUCCUACGGGAGGCAGCAGUAGGGAAUCUUCCGCAAUGGGCGAAAGCCUGACGGAGCAACGCCGCGUGAGUGAAGAAGGUCUUCGGAUCGUAAAACUCUGUUAUUAGGGAAGAACAAAUGUGUAAGUAACUAUGCACGUCUUGACGGUACCUAAUCAGAAAGCCACGGCUAACUACGUG